GUAGGGAAUAUUGGACAAUGGGGGGAACCCUGAUCCAGCCAUGCCGCGUGGAGGAAGACUGCCCUCUGGGUUGUAAACUCCUUUUAUAUGGGAAGAACCGUCCUCAUUAAUGAGUGACCUGACGGUACCAUAGGAAUAAGCACCGGCUAACUCCGUGCCAGCAGCCGCGGUAAUACGGAGGGUGCAAGCGUUAUCCGGAUUCACUGGGUUUAAAGGGUGCGUAGGCGGAUAAAUAAGUCAGUGGUGAAAUCAACGGGCUCAACCUGUUAACUGCCAUUGAUACUGUGUAUCUUGAAUAUGAGAGCGGUAGGCGGAAUGUUGCAUGUAGCGGUGAAAUGCUUAGAUAUGCUACGGAACACCGAUUGCGAAGGCAGCUUACUAUUUCGUAAUUGACGCUGGGGCACGAAAGCGUGGGUAGCGAACAGGAUUAGAUACCCGGGUAGUCC
rnacentral:rRNA from 1 species